rnacentral:rRNA from 1 species
UACGUAGGGGGCAAGCGUUGUCCGGAUUUAUUGGGCGUAAAGAGCGUGUAGGCGGCCAUGCAGGUCCGUUGUGAAAACUCGAGGCUCAACCUCGAGACGCCGGUGGAAACCGUGUGGCUAGAGUCCGGAAGAGGAGAGUGGAAUUCCUGGUGUAGCGGUGAAAUGCGCAGAUAUCAGGAAGAACACCAAUGGCGAAGGCAGCUCUCUGGGACGGUACUGACGCUGAGACGCGAAAGCGUGGGGAGCGAACAGG